AUUGAACGCUGGCGGCAUGCUUUACACAUGCAAGUCGAACGGUAACAGGGAGCUUGCUCCGCUGACGAGUGGCGAACGGGUGAGUAAUGCAUCGGAACGUACCCAGUCGUGGGGGAUAAUGUAGCGAAAGUUACGCUAAUACCGCAUACGUCCUGAGGGAGAAAGCGGGGGACCGAAAGGCCUCGCGCGAUUGGAGCGGCCGAUGUCGGAUUAGCUAGUUGGUGGGGUAAAGGCCUACCAAGGCGACGAUCCGUAGCGGGUCUGAGAGGAUGAUCCGCCACACUGGGACUGAGACACGGCCCAGACUCCUACGGGAGGCAGCAGUGGGGAAUUUUGGACAAUGGGGGCAACCCUGAUCCAGCCAUGCCGCGUGAGUGAAGAAGGCCUUCGGGUUGUAAAGCUCUUUCAGACGGAAAGAAAACGCAUCGGUGAAUACCCGGUGUGGAUGACGGUACCGUAAGAAGAAGCACCGGCUAACUACGUG
rnacentral:rRNA from 1 species